rnacentral:tRNA from 1 species
GCGGGCGUGGUGAAACUGGCAGACACGCCAGACUUAGGAUCUGGUGCCGAAAGGUGUGUGGGUUCGACUCCCUCCGCCCGCA